rnacentral:rRNA from 1 species
AAUGAACGCUGGCGGCAGGCCUAACACAUGCAAGUCGAACGGAUCCUUCGGGAUUAGUGGCGGACGGGUGAGUAACGCGUGGGAACGUACCCCUUUCUUCGGAAUAGCCUCGGGAAACUGGGAGUAAUACCGGAUAAGCCCUAUUGGGGAAAGAUUUAUCGGGAAGGGAUCGGCCCGCGUUGGAUUAGGUAGUUGGUGGGGUAAUGGCCUACCAAGCCGACGAUCCAUAGCUGGUUUGAGAGGAUGAUCAGCCACACUGGGACUGAGACACGGCCCAGACUCCUACGGGAGGCAGCAGUGGGGAAUCUUAGACAAUGGGGGAAACCCUGAUCUAGCCAUGCCGCGUGAUCGAUGAAGGCCUUAGGGUUGUAAGAUCUUUCAGUGGGGAAGAUAAUGACGGUACCCACAGAAGAAGCCCCGGCUAACUCCGUGCCAGCAGCCGCGGUAAUGUGACUACUG